GCCACAAUAAGGGUGGGGAAGUGAAGGUCUUGUUGAAUGUAGAGGAAGAGAUAGAGCCUAUAUUCCUGACUCCUCCUUUCACCUAUAUUCAUACAACUCCUUCACUAAUGGAUAAUGGGAGCAGACCUGAGUGUUAGGAGAUUAGAGUGGUCUCUAGUGGUAAUUUCCCAAUAUGUAUACUGAGACCUACCCCUAUAGUCAGGAAUAUUACUUUCCAAUUGAUUCGACUAACAGAUUGACUAGUUUCAUCACACUUUCAGAACUGUUCUAGGGUCACAUCCACUAUUAAUAAGGUUUUAGUCAGAUGGGUGACAAGAAGUAGAACUAGGAAUAGGAGGGUUGUCUUGGGUACGGUUCUGGGAGGUGUGGGUACUGGGUUGGGUUUUGUAAAUAUAAUUGAUAUAUAUAGUAUGACUGCAAUACUCCAGUCUGAGGGUGUUAAAUUCAGAGAACUAUCAAUACUUUAAUGGAGGAUUGGACACAGAAGGAUCAACAAACCUGUGCUGAGUUCUUUCAUC